rnacentral:rRNA from 1 species
GGACUACUGGGGUAUCUAAUCCUGUUUGCUCCCCACGCUUUCGUGCAUGAGCGUCAGUGUUAUCCCAGGGGGCUGCCUUCGCCAUCGGUAUUCCUCCACAUCUCUACGCAUUUCACUGCUACACGUGGAAUUCUACCCCCCUCUGACACACUCCAGCCAACCAGUCUCAAAUGCCAUUCCCAGGUUAAGCCCGGGGAUUUCACAUCUGACUUAAUCAACCGCCUGCGCACCCUUUACGCCCAGUAAUUCCGAUUAACGCUCGCACCCUACGUAUUACCGCGGCUGCUGGCAC